GUGGGGAAUAUUGGACAAUGGGCGCAAGCCUGAUCCAGCCAUGCCGCGUGAGUGAUGAAGGCCUUAGGGUUGUAAAGCUCUUUCAGUGGGGACGAUAAUGACGGUACCCACAGAAGAAGCCCCGGCUAACUUCGUGCCAGCAGCCGCGGUAAUACGAAGGGGGCUAGCGUUGUUCGGAUUUACUGGGCGUAAAGCGCACGUAGGCGGAUCGUUAAGUCGGGGGUGAAAUCCCGGGGCUCAACCCCGGAACUGCCUUUGAUACUGGGUGUCUGGAGUAUGGAAGAGGUAAGUGGAAUUCCGAGUGUAGAGGUGAAAUUCGUAGAUAUUCGGAGGAACACCAGUGGCGAAGGCGGCUUACUGGUCCAUUACUGACGCUGAGGUGCGAAAGCGUGGGGAGCAAACAGGAUUAGAAACCCUGGUAGUCC
rnacentral:rRNA from 1 species